UUGACCCAAUUUACCAUAUUUAUCUUCAACAUAACAUACAACGCACCAAAGAGGGGUUACUGUUCACUUUUCGUCGUCAUCACGUGCUGCUCGCGUGAGUUAUCUAAAUUGGUUCUUCAAGGUGCUCCAGCAUCGCCCAUGGAUUUCUGAUGGGAUCAGAGGCUCAUGUGAUUUUCUUUCUUCUUUCGUCUCUUGCUGCUGCGAUGUCUUGAGCUACCAGAAGAACCUUGCCUAAAAUGAUGAUUGGCCCAAUUUACCAUCUUUAUCUGCUGGAUAUUGGAGAUGAACGCUGUUCUAAAUUUCAACAUAACAUAUUGUCACUUCCUACAGGCUCGGAGAUCUUCACCCUUUUCUUCACCUUGGUUUUCAGAUUGGUUUCUCUUUCUAGGGUUUUCACAUCUCUUUUUCUGUCUGGCUUCUCUUUUCUCCCUAUCCUUUCCUUGCAGACUCUAAUUGUGGCUUCUUUUCUUGCGUAAUUCCAUCUUCUACCCUAAAACCUCAACCCUUCUUAUUGUGAUAUCAUUAUGUGAUGAUAUUAUUAUUUGAUUUUGGGGGUUUUUUUUGUUCAUAUGUGAUUUUUGGGGGUUGUUUUUUUUUCGUUUCCUAUUCUUUUGGUUUUGGGUGUUUGUAUCUUUUUAUUUCCUUUAUUUUUCAUGUAUAUGCUUUUCCACUUUUAGUAGGUCUCCCUGUAUUUGGAUUUGGCCAUUGCUCUAUCUACAUGAAACUUAGGCAUAUGGUAUUAUUAUGUGAUUUUUAGGGGUUGUUUCUUGUUUUUCCAUUUCCUUUUCUUUUGCUUCUGGAUGUUUGCUUGUAUCUUUUUAUUUCCUUUCUUUCUGAUCUGGCCAUUGCUUUGUCUUUUCUUUAUUUUGUCCUGGUUACUAUCAGUUUGCUUUAAGUAGAACGGAUUCUCAAAGCUGCACUGCCUCCGCAGCUGACCACACACAAGGAGAAAUAAUUGCAGGAGCAAAACAACUUCUUGUCAAAGCAGGCAAAUGGACCCUUAGGCAAAGUGGAUGGAAGAGAUGGUGGUGAUGCGAACUUGUUCAUACCAUCUUGGCUGGUUAAUCUCAUUAGUAAAUAAUGACUAAGGAGGGGAAACUUCUUUUUGCUUUCAAGCCAGAAAAGUUAUUUGUCAAAAUAAUUAUGUUUUUAAUUUUGUUUUAUUCAGCGCCAAACAUGCCCAUCUUAAUGAGGUAGGUAUUAUGUGCAUGAUACUAUGUAUUUCGUGUUUGCGAUGCUAAUUAAAUUGUUGAUAAGAAAAUACUUGACACUUUCAUAUAGUACUUUAAUACCAAAAGAAAAAGAAAGUGUCUUAUGUGAGUUCUGUUUUUGGCUGGUGCGUAACUCUUAUUUCAAGGCCAAUGUCUGAGGCUGUUUAUUUGUAUGUUUCAUUUGAAAGCUUACUUCUGCAUUUUGGUUGAUGGCCUUGGAGUAAAGCAAAUACAUGGAUUUCUUUCUGAAGACUUCUAUUCAAAGAAAAACUAGGAUCAGUGAGUUCUUGCUAUGUAUGUGUGUUCUUUAUUUACUUAAAGCAUUUGGAUUAAUAGUGAGUAUUUUACACAUUGAAUUCAGAACUUCCAUGUAACAUUUUUAUGUCAAUUUUAGUUCUGGUGCUAUGUCAACCUUGAUUUGAUGUGUGAAGCCCAUGCCUAGACCUAUGUAAUGACCAAAGUCAUGAAAUUGAUGCAAAAUAGGUAAAAAGGGGAACUAAAUGAGUUGAAGAGAUGUGAGAGUUUGGUCUAUAAAGGAUUGGAAGAAGUAUAAGAAGAAAAGUGAAAGGAACAGGGGUUAUUGGCUUGAGGAUGCAGUGGAAAUCUCAUGUAGUAAGAGCUUUAGUUAUUAGUAUAGAUUCUAUUUAAUAGGAACUUCGGUCGGUUAUUGAAAUUAAUGACCUUACAAGGAUAUAAUGGUAUCCUUUGCAAACUUAUCUUAACAGAUUUAUAAAUAUGUCUUCACAGUUUUUUGUCUCAAUUAUGUGCUUGUCUUUUUUUUUUUUUUUUGGGUUAAAAAGAAGCAUUCCCGAGAAGGGGAAAGAAUGAUCAAUGCCUUGUAUAUUUUGCAAUGAAAGACACUGGGACUUGCAUUUUGAUAUGUCAUAUGAAUGAUUUAGCAGUCAUAUAUUGUGCUACUUCUUGUUGUUUCAUUUUGCUUACAUGAGGUUUGCCCUAUGCAACUACCAUGAUAAUCCUGCAGAGCUGUCGAAUGAGUUGUGCAGGUCCAUUUGUGCUCCUUCCAUCCAUUGCUAAUAUUUGCCGUUCAUUUAACAGAAAAUUCCGGAUCACACUGAUUAAAAAUUAGUUGAGCAUCGAACUCCAGACAUUGUUCUUACAAGCAGAACUAGAGUUUACAGUAUUGGAAACAGGAAAGAUAGAUUUCAUCGGAAAUGGAGCGCCUUUGUUGCAGAUCAUAACCUCCAAGAUAGAGACGUUCUACUCUUUCUUCCUCAAUCUCACACUUUGUUUGCUUUGUUAAUCUUUGAAACCUAUGGAAUAGAAAUUAUUUACCCCUGGCAUCACAUGUUCAUGAUUUAAAUAUUAUGUUUGUAGAUUCUGAAUUAUCAGUGAAAUUGGUCGUCCGAUGUAAUGAAAUGAUUUGUGGUUCGUACUUAAGAAUGACUUCAGUAGAUUUAACCUUUUUCCA